ensembl:misc_RNA 7SK 7SK RNA
GGAUGUGAGGGCGAUCUGACUGCGACAUCUGUCACCUCACUGAUCGCUAGGGUUGAUUCAGCUGAUCUGGCUGGCUAGGCAGGUGUCCCCUUCCUCCCUCACUGCUCCAUGUGCAUCCCUCCCGAAGCUGCAUGCUCAGUCGAAGAGAGAGAGAGUCCGUGAAUAGAGAUGGACUGGUCCUCGGUAGGUCGAGGGUAUACGAGUAGCUGCGCCCCCUUGCUAGAACCUCCAAACAAGCUCUCAAGAGUUGGAAAGUGAGUCCCAUUCAGGAUAUCAUUGUCUUCCCUCUGUCUUCCAUGGACAUUCCUUUACUGAAGACUCUGUG